UAAUGUCGAGUGGGAAAACAUGUUCCGUUUUAGAUUGUUUCAAUGGCGGCAGUAAAAUUUCAAUUUGGAAGAUAAAACAUUGUGAGCUACAUAAAAUACCCCGGGUCGACUGCCCCUGUCUGGUGCCAUACGGUUUACACAGAUUUCCUGGGCGAGUACAAGACGCGGACAUUCGCCAGAAGUGGGCGAAAAAUAUAAACAGGCAGGGAUGGGUUCCUAAUAACAACAGCAGGGUCUGUGGGAUACACUUCCCUGAUGGCAGACCAACUAAAGAGCACCCAUACCCAGUAUUGCACAUGGGAUAUGAAACUCAUGCUGGACUUCUGCCAUCUGGUCGAGCCCCCCCCCAAAAGAAGAUGUGUUGAGCCCCUUACAGUCAACA